GGGCCUAUAGCUCAGUCGGUUAGAGCAGCGGACUCAUAAUCCGUUGGUCCCAGGUUCGAGUCCUGGUGGGCCCACCA
rnacentral:tRNA from 1 species